AUUUCAGAUAACAUAAGCAACAAAUCAUUAUGAUGAUACCUAUCUCUCAUAAUCAUGAUAACAAAUCACUACAUUACAAAUAAAUAAUAACAUAAAUAAAAUCAUGAAGCCAGUUCUAAUACUUCUUAGGGAGCAGCAAUAGUCGCCAUUGAAGUCAACUUCGAUAAAAAAUCAACAUUGCGACUUUCGGCCGAUGCUGUGUUGUAACAACUGGCAGUGUUAUUCGCGCAACAGACCAGCCACGUCCUAUGGUGUGUUAAACCGAUAUCUAACGAAAUAAUAACAAUGACUUACGCAUUUAUAAUAGUGGCGGCCGUGGCGUUGACGUUGAAAGUGUGUUUCAUGAGUUUCUCACUUUAUUUCACCUUGAAAAAUGGAGAAAAACAGCAGACACAGACGAACCUCCCAGCUAACAAAUCGAUGGUGAUAUCUUGGAAGCGGGUUACCCAGAAGUUCCUGCCCCGUUCGCUCUACCUCGUCGAGGAAAACAAUAAAAACUUUGUAAAUAAAAUGUAGGCUUCAUGUUAUUUAUUUUAGGGUUUAAUUUAUGGAUUACUGGAUAACAAUACCUAUACUCAAUAGUUCCCAGUGGUAAAAGAUGAGAAAAAAUCUCGGUUGUUACCUGUGGUACCAACUUGGUGGUAACUAGCGGGAAUAACCCGCAUAGGAUACCUAAAGUUAAUAACAAUGAUAUAUGUAUGCAGGUAUGACAUCUAACAUUAAGUAAUCCUCUAUUAAGUAUAUUUUUUUUAAACAGACAAUAUUGCAAAUAUAGGUACCUAAUUGAAAGUUUGUUUUAUUUUGGGUGUUUAGAAUGUUUGGUGUAAUUUAUAAUUUAAUAAAAUGACGGUACCACGGUACCAGCUUAGUCAAUUGUUAAUUACAAUAAUUACCUACUUUUUAAAAGAAAAUGUUGUGAUCACUGAUCAGUCUCCAGAUCUCCACUAAUAAUGCUUUCAUAAGAAAUGGGCAAGGAAAAUACAGAAAUGCAUCCUG